rnacentral:rRNA from 1 species
GAAUAUUGCGCAAUGGGGGAAACCCUGACGCAGCAACGCCGCGUGAAUGAAGAAGGCCUUAGGGUUGUAAAGUUCUGUUUUCUGGGACGAUAAUGACGGUACCAGAGGAGGAAGCCACGGCUAACUACGUGCCAGCAGCCGCGGUAAUACGUAGGUGGCAAGCGUUGUCCGGAUUUACUGGGCGUAAAGGAUGCGUAGGCGGAUGUUUAAGUGAGAUGUGAAAUACCCGAGCUCAACUUGGGUGCUGCAUUUCAAACUGGAUAUCUAGAGUGCAGGAGAGGAAAGCGGAAUUCCUAGUGUAGCGGUGAAAUGCGUAGAGAUUAGGAAGAACACCAGUGGCGAAGGCGGCUUUCUGGACUGUAACUGACGCUGAGGCAUGAAAGCGUGGGGAGCAAACA